rnacentral:rRNA from 1 species
CACGUAGGGCGCAAGCGUUGUCCGGAAUUAUUGGGCGUAAAGAGCUCGUAGGCGGCUUGUCGCGUCGGAUGUGAAAGCCCGGGGCUUAACUCCGGGUCUGCAUUCGAUACGGGCAGGCUAGAGUUCGGUAGGGGAGAUCGGAAUUCCUGGUGUAGCGGUGAAAUGCGCAGAUAUCUGAAGGAACACCGGUGGCGAAGGCGGCAUCCUGGACCGACACUGACACUGAGGAGCGAAAGCCAGGGGAGCAAACGGG